rnacentral:tRNA from 3 species
GCCGACGUAGCUCAGUGGUAGAGCAGGGCUUUCGUAAAGCUCAGGCCGUGGGUUCGAAUCCCUCCGUCGGCUCCA